rnacentral:rRNA from 1 species
CCUGGUUGAUUCUGCCCCUUAUCAUAUGCUUGUCUCAAAGAUUAAGCCAUGCAUGUCUAAGCAUAAGCAACUUUGUACUGUGAAACUGCGAAUGGCUCAUUAAAUCAGUUAUAGUUUAUUUGAUGGUUUUUGCUACAUGGAUAACUGUGGUAAUUCUAGAGCUAAUACAUGCAUUCAAGCCCCGACUUCUGGAAGGGGUGUAUUUAUUAGAUAAAAAUCAACUUUGUUGGUGAAUCAUAAUAACUUCUCGGACCGCAUGGCCUCGUGCUGGCGGUGCUUCAUUCAAAUAUCUGCCCUAUCAACUGUCGAUGGUAGGAUAGAGGCCUACCAUGGUUGCAACGGGUAACGGGGAAUAAGGGUUCGAUUCCGGAGAGGGAGCCUGAGAAACGGCUACCACAUCCAAGGAAGGCAGCAGGCGCGCAAAUUACCCAAUCCCAACACGGGGAGGUAGUGACAAUAUGUAACAAUAUACGGCCUUAUACGUCGUAUAAUUGGAAUGAGUACAAUUUAAAUCCCUUAACGAGGAACAAUUGGAGGGCAAGUCUGGUGCCAGCAGCCGCGGUAAUUCCAGCUCCAAUAGCGUAUAUUAAAGUUGUUGCAGUUAAAAAGCUCGUAGUUGGACCUUGGACCUGGACAGGCGGUCCGCCUCACGGCGAGUACUGUCUUGCUGGGUCUUUCCUCUUGGUGAUCUGUUGUUUCGGCAGCAGGGAACCAGGACCUUUACUUUGAAAAAAUUAGAGUGUUCAAAGCAGGCUCGACGCCGGAAUAUAUUAGCAUGGAAUAAUAAAAUAGGACGUGCGGUUCUAUUUUGUUGGUUUUUGG